ACGCGAGCUGGGUUCAGAACGUCGUGAGACAGUUCGGUCCCUAUCCGUCGCGGGCGUAGGAAAUUUGAGAGGAUCUGCUCCUAGUACGAGAGGACCAGAGUGGACUUACCGCUGGUGUACCAGUUGUCUUGCCAAAGGCAUCGCUGGGUAGCUAUGUAGGGAAGGGAUAAACGCUGAAAGCAUCUAAGUGUGAAACCCACCUCAAGAUGAGAUUUCCCAUGAUUUUAUAUCAGUAAGAGCCCUGAGAGAUGAUCAGGUAGAUAGGUUAGAAGUGGAAGUGUGGCGACACAUGUAGCGGACUAAUACUAAUAGCUCGAGGACUUA
rnacentral:rRNA from 1 species